rnacentral:rRNA from 1 species
CCAAUAGCGUAUAUUAAAGUUGUUGCAGUUAAAAAGCUCGUAGUUGAACUUCAGGCCUGGCUGGACGGUCCGCCUUCCGGGCGAGUACUGUCUGUGGUCGGGUCCUACCUUCUGGCGAAGCGUCAUGGCCUUAACCGGCCGUGGCGGGGAACCAGGACUUUUACUGUGAAAAAAUUAGAGUGUUCAAAGCAGGCAAUUCGCUUGGAUACAUUAGCAUGGAAUAAUGGAAUAGGACAAUGGUUCUAUUUGUUGGUUUCUAGGACUGUUGUAAUGAUUAAUAGGGAUAGUUGGGGGCAUUAGUAUUCAAUUGUCAGAGGUGAAAUGCUUGGAUUUAUUGAAGACUAACUACUGCGAAAGCAUUUGCCAAGGAUGUUUUCAUUAAUCAAGAACGAAAGUUAGGGGAUCGAAGACGAUCAGAUACCGUCGUAGUCUUAACCAUAAACUAUGCCGACUAGGAAUCGGGCGAUGUUGACAAAAUGACGCGCUCGGCACCUCAUG